GCUCCCCACGGUAGUGUGCUGACCCAAUCAGGAAUUAUAUCAUACGUGUAUAACUAGGGGUUCGUUCUGAAAUUCACUGCCGCUGCUACGACUAACGUCGUGUCCUUGUUUUCCUGCUUGCAUUUGAUUGAGACACAACCAUUCUCGUAGUACUGGCAGGGAAUUUCGAAACGCACUCUAGGUUGCAGGUCUGUACUUUACAUUCAGCGGAGUUUUGAUGGAAAUAACCAUUGUUCGUUCUACCACGCUAAUCAAGUACUAUUGGUGUGUUGGCUCUUGUGUGGCUACAGUGUUUUAGGCUAAUAAUUACUACUGUGCAAGUAUAGGAUUACAUCAAAGUCCUUACUGCUGCCAUAUCAGAUAUCAAGACCACAAGGAUAAUUAAUUUAACGACACCAUGGUGGGAUAUCGCUAUCAAACAUUUACCGGAAUGCAGUUUCUGGGAUGGAUUUUGGCCCGUCUGUGUGGGGAGCAUCGUCGCUCCUGGGAUGACGUUCUGCUAGCAAUUGAAGUGGCCGUCACAGUGGAUCCUAUGAGGAUUUGCCAGUUGCCAUCUACAGCCGACGUAGGCAUCCAGUGCAAUAUGACGACCUCGGUUAAGCAUUGUGGUACACAAACAGAUCCAGUUUCGAUGAUCAGCCAGGGAACGCAAACGACGCCAGAGAACAAAGGUCCUAAUGAAGACCUAUAAAAAAUGCAUUGGAAGCCGAACAUUUAUUCAUCAAGAUAUUUCGAAUGUGCGUGGACACUUAUACAAAGUCACUCAAGAAAAACGCACCAUCUGAACAGUUAAAUCAAAUGAACAAACUAAGUUCAGAUGGUGCGUCUUGUCUUGAAUAACCCUGUAGUGUAGUAGGUCCACGUUAUCUGGACAUCGUACCAACUCAGCUUCUUUUAAGGAACUGGCAGGUGGUCCCUGAGUGAUAAAGGAACUUUGUUGUUAAGCUUUUUCGGAAGGUUAGAUAAGUUCUCAAUUUUACGAAGAUCCACUUCACUCGAUACUUUAUUUAUUGUAUUCUACUUGUUACUUUCCUACAUGAGUAUACUACUAUCUGGUCCUUUUAAUUCUGUUUUUCUUUAGUACUGCUAUAGGAUAUAUGCUAAUUUAUUUAAGAAAUUAAUUGAUACAUUAUAGAUGGUUUAGGACUUCUCUGACUUGUCUGUCUCUUUAUUGAUAAAUAAUUUUCUUUUUCUUUAAUUAGCAGUAAAAAUGGCUUUUUCUAUCUGGCUGCUAAUUUAUAUGCGCCUAUUUUGGUUGAGUACUAAAGAUAUUUAGUAUAGCUGUUAUUUUUAGAUAAUAUAUAUAUAGUUUGCUUUUCUUAAAGUUUUCGUGUAAAUUCUUCUCAGUUUAUAAUAGAUUUAUUUGAAUUUUUGUUACUAUUAUACACAAACUUUAAUUAAUAUUUUUGUUUUAUAUAAUGGCACUCUCUUGUGAAAGUGUUUCAUUUUCUAUUACCCAAGCAAACUACAUGACAUUCUUGUUCAGUUUUGCAAUAUUGAUGGAUUUUUCAUACCGUUAUUAAAUUAAGGAUCGAUACGCCAUUCAUUUCUUUCGUGUGCUUCUGAUCCUGAGCUAAACUGAACUACUUUUAUUUUUCCAUAUUUGCACAUUUCGGGCAAACCAUUGAGCGCUUCAAUUUAUGUAAUCGAACUUUUAUAAUUUUUGUUUGAAUAAAAUUAUCUUU